GAUGAACGCUAGCUACAGGCUUAACACAUGCAAGUCGAGGGGCAGCAUGAACUUAGCUUGCUAAGUUUGAUGGCGACCGGCGCACGGGUGAGUAACACGUAUCCAACCUGCCGAUGACUAGGGGAUAGCCUUUCGAAAGAAAGAUUAAUACCCGAUGGCAUAGUUCUUCCGCAUGGUAGAACUAUUAAAGAAUUUCGGUCAUCGAUGGGGAUGCGUUCCAUUAGGUUGUUGGCGGGGUAAAGGCCCACCAAGCCGUCGAUGGAUAGGGGUUCUGAGAGGAGGGUCCCCCACAUUGGAACUGGGACACGGUCCAAACUGCUACGGGAGGCAGCAGUGAGGAAGAUUGGUGAAUGGAAGAGAGUCUGAACCAGCCAAGUAGGGUGAAGGAUGACUGCCCUAGGGGUUGUAAACUUCUUUUAUACGGGAAUAAAGUGAUGCACCGGUGCCUUUUUGUAUGUACCGUAUGAAUAAGGAGCGGCUAACUACGUG
rnacentral:rRNA from 1 species